ACAUCCAGAGAACUUUCCAGAGAUGGAUUGGUGCCUUCGGGAACUCUGAGACAGGUGCUGCAUGGCUGUCGUCAGCUCGUGUUGUGAAAUGUUGGGUUAAGUCCCGCAACGAGCGCAACCCUUAUCCUUUGUUGCCAGCGGUCCGGCCGGGAACUCAAAGGAGACUGCCAGUGAUAAACUGGAGGAAGGUGGGGAUGACGUCAAGUCAUCAUGGCCCUUACGAGUAGGGCUACACACGUGCUACAAUGGCGCAUACAAAGAGAAGCGACCUCGCGAGAGCAAGCGGACCUCAUAAAGUGCGUCGUAGUCCGGAUUGGAGUCCGCAACUCGACUCCAUGAAGUCGGAAUCGCUAGUAAUCGUGGAUCAGAAUGCCACGGUGAAUACGUUCCCGGGCCUUGUACACACCGCCCGUCACACCAUGGGAGUGGGUUGCAAAAGAAGUAGGUAGCUUAACCUUCGGGAGGGCGCUUACCACUUUGUGAUUCAUGACUGGGGUGAAGUCGUAACAAGGUAGGCGUAGUGCU
rnacentral:rRNA from 1 species